UUUUCCUUUUGUUUUCUUUUAAUUUUCUUUGCUUUUGUUUUGUGUGAGUACAUGAUUGUUCUACUUGCUCAUCUAUAAUAAUCUUCUGAUUAGGUAUUUUGUUUUCAUUCAGAAUCAUGUGCCUUUGUUUUAAGUCUUUGAUAAUCCGUUCCGAAUGAUUCCUAAUUGGAUUUCUAGAUGUUUCUUGUUUAAUUGAAUUAUUCUGUUAGCUCAAAUUGCUCAUCCCUUCCCUGGUUUGACCUUCUCUUUUCGUUUCAGUUUGAUCAAUGUUCGUUUGUGAUAAACCUUGUGGUUGUUUCUGAAGUUUGUGCUGGUUAGCUUUGUAUUACCUCUGAUUAAUUCAGUCUCGCAUUUUGGUACCAUUCUAAAUAUGCAUGUAUAUAUGUGUUUCAUUGACCUGUUGCUGAUCAACUUUGAUAAUUUUUGUUAUUUUAGUAGUAUAGUGUAGUCUUAAAUUGAAUAGUUAGUCAUGCUCAGCUUAUUUUUAAAACUUGACCCUAGUUGAUAAUGAGACUAUGUUUUGUUUAUGGCCCUAAGUAGUUAACUAUGGUCAACUUCUGACCAAAU
rnacentral:lncRNA from 1 species